GCAGGGCCGCAGGGGCCCCCGGAGGAGGGUGUUAAGAGCCAGAAACAAACCUAAACCAUGUGGAAUCCAGUUAGGCUGGGAGGUGGCUCUGGGGGGCAGGUCUUAGGAGAAACUGGGGAGGUCAGCAUGGGGCCGGCUGCCGGGUCCUGGGGCGCAGAAGGCUGGUCCCGGGGACCCCCCGGGGCAGCCGGGUCCAUGACUAGUUCCAAACCUCCCCAACGUACGGGAUGAGGGGUCCUCACCACCCACCCACCCUUCAGUGACCCCCAAGGAAGGAUCUGGGGCCCCCAGUCAGCCGGAUGCUCCUUCCCGAGGGUUGGGUUCGGGUCAGCGUAUGCUGAUGGGGUCACAGUGCAUUCCAGGCCCUGCGCUCGGCUCUGAGGAAACGUGAACGGUGUGAGGUGUGAGGACAAGAAGGUGACCUGGGACGGUGUAGGUGGUGCACAGAUGGCAGGCGGGGAGAGGGGUGCACAUCGCCCCCUCCAUGCACCUCAGCCCACCGGUCACAGGGGACUGACCGCGGGUCGGUGCCCAGCACUGGGCCCUGAGCCGCCCUCUCUGGCCCCUGCCCAUCCCUCAGCGUAGGAGUCAGUCUCGCACUGGGACCAGCGCCGGGGCAGGCCCGGCAGGCUCAGGAGCCAGAUUCCACCUGGGCAGGGAUCAGGAUCCGGGGCACGGCGGAAGGCGGCGGAGGGCCGCGAUCUCUGCCCGCACCCGAGGCCUCCGUGCGCCAUCUUGCAGAGACCCUGCAGGACGGCCCCGCCCAAGUGUCCCCAGGCCCCCGGAGAGGAGGCCGUGGGGGGGGAGAGCCAACAUAAACCCGUCAGAGCUAACCCGUGCUGAUCACUGGCUCCCUAAAUCAAGAAGCUGGCAGAUCUUCGGGGCGAGCAUCAAUCUUCCUGUCCCCGUGCUAUCGUUUGAACCCAGGAAGACCAUUGACGCUCACGCACAGCCCGCAUGCUUCUUAAACCCUCGUUCGUGGAUUUUUGCCGAUUCCUUUGUCCACAAUCUAUACCAAGGUUCCCGCAUCGUCUCCCUGCCCCCAGUUCAUUUUAUCUUGCCUUAAUGAAUUAACCAGAAUGUCCAGAUGAGAUCGAGUUGAACUACCUUAAGUCUGUUUAGGAACCUGCUUGGGUGUUCGUUAAUUACCGUUCGUUAAUUGUCAGUGGGAUGAUAAGAGGAAUUUAUUUUUGUUCCUCGUUUUGAAGCUACUUUACCGGUGCUGAUUCGUCUCUUACUUACGUGUCACCCUGUGGAAGAAUCCUUCCAUCAAGCUCUUCUCUGUUCUAAAUGGUUGAAUGCUACCGCAUUAUUUUCCAGGUAGCUGUGAGCGUGCUUUCACACCCCUUACUUCAUCCUGCCCGUUGAACGAAUCAUGAGAACUCCCCGCAGCGGCAGAGCGGGGGCCCCACCCCAGGCCUCCGGCCCCCGGCCCCCACGUUGUCUGAUCGAGUCUUCACUCUGAGGAGAUGCGUCCUGGUUCACAAAGGCUUCAGAGCUGCCCGCAGCUGUGUGAUGACCAGUGCAGGGGAGCAAAUUCUGCCAGCCCAGGGUCUGCCUCUCUGGCAUAUUAUCUUAAGCUGCCGGUUUUUAAGAAAAUGCAGACACAAGAGCAGCUCCGAGAGCCCGCACGAAGCUUCCCUUCUGUAAGAGCCAUUUCCACGUAUGAGGGAAUCUCCGUUUGUAAGGGUGUCCCCCUGGCUGUGCUGGGAAGAAGGGGUGACUCCAAACCCCGGGAAACUCUAAUCGGGGCAGGAGGCAUGGACUCAGAUCUGCAUGACAGCCUCACCCUUGUUCACUGUGCUUCCCUGGCAACCUGCCAUAACCGACUCCCUACCCCCAACCUCUGUCUUUAGCUGAAGAUGGUAUUUAAGGUGACGGCUUUGGCCAUUUCCCGGAGUUACCGUUUUCCUCGGUCUCUCGGGUAUAAGCAGGAGGCACACGUGUAAUCAAACUUUUGUCCGACUCACUCCUGU